GAUGAACGCUGGCGGCGUGCCUAAUACAUGCAAGUCGAGCGAACGGACGAGAAUCUUGCUUCUCUGAUGUUAGCGGCGGACGGGUGAGUAACACGUGGAUAACCUACCUAUAAGACUGGGAUAACUUCGGGAAACCGGAGCUAACACCGGAUAAUAUUUUGAACCGCAUGGUUCAAAAGUGAAAGACGGUCUUGCUGUCACUUAUAGAUGGAUCCGCGCUGCAUUAGCUAGUUGGCAAGGUAACGGCUUACCAAGGCAACGAUGCAUAGCCGACCUGAGAGGGUGAUCGGCCACACUGGAACUGAGACACGGUCCAGACUCCUACGGGAGGCAGCAGUAGGGAAUCUUCCGCAAUGGGCGAAAGCCUGACGGAGCAACGCCGCGUGAGUGAUGAAGGUCUUCGGAUCGUAAAGCACUGUUAUUAGGGAAGAACAUAUGUGUAAGUAACUGUGCACAUCUUGACGGUACCUGAUCAAAAAGCCACGGCUAACUACGUG
rnacentral:rRNA from 1 species